rnacentral:rRNA from 1 species
CGUGUUAUCCUGUCUGAAUAUGGGGGGACCAUCCUCCAAGGCUAAAUACUCCUGAUUGACCGAUAGUGAACCAGUACCGUGAGGGAAAGGCGAAAAGAACCCCGGCGAGGGGAGUGAAAUAGAACCUGAAACCGUGUACGUACAAGCAGUGGGAGCACCUUCGGGUGUGACUGCGUACCUUUUGUAUAAUGGGUCAGCGACUUAUAUUCUGUAGCAAGGUUAACCGUAUAGGGGAGCCGUAGGGAAACCGAGUCUUAACUGGGCGAAUGAGUUGCAGGGUAUAGACCCGAAACCCGGUGAUCUAGCCAUGGGCAGGUUGAAGGUUGGGUAACACUAACUGGAGGACCGAACCGACUAAUGUUGAAAAAUUAGCGGAUGACUUGUGGCUGGGGGUGAAAGGCCAAUCAAACCGGGAGAUAGCUGGUUCUCCCCGAAAGCUAUUUAGGUAGCGCCUCGUGAACUCAUCUUCGGGGGUAGAGCACUGUUUCGACUAGGGGGUCAUCCCGACUUACCAACUCGAUGCAAACUACGAAUACCGAAGAAUGUUAUCACGGGAGACACACGGCGGGUGCUAACGUUCGUCGUGAAGAGGGAAACAACCCAGACCGCCAGCUAAGGUCCCAAAGUCAUGGUUAAGUGGGAAACGAAGUGGGAAGGCUCAGACAGCCAGGAUGUUGGCUUAGAAGCAGCCAUCAUUUAAAGAAAGCGUAAUAGCUCACUGGUCGAGUCGGCCUGCGCGGAAGAUGUAACGGGGCUAAACCAUGCACCGAAGCUGCGGCAGCGACAUUUAGAUGUUGUUGGGUAGGGGAGCGUUCUGUAAGCCUGCGAAGGUGUGCUGUGAGG